AUAACAAUCGACCCUCUUCUCAAAAUAAACAAUUGAAACCCUAUUCCCCCAAAUUUCCAAAUCCACAUUCCCUAUUUCCUUGAAACCGUUCCAUUGCUCCCCUGCUUCACCCCCUUUCGUUGUUGACAAGCAAGAGGAUGCACCAGCUUCACCAUGUUCCCAGUUCCUUCACCGCUUCACAACUUCGUCGAGUCUUCAUGGCUUCAAAGCUUCCUCAGUUCCUCAUCACUACCCUCGGAUCCCUUCCUUCGUUUUCCAUUCGAUGUCCUCGAGCUCCAUCUUUGUUCGCCGUUCUAGCUUUGUUUCUGCUCGCCAAAAAAUUUCCAUUUGCACUGGGUUUUCUUCCUCAGGUAAUAACACUUCUGGACCUUGACUUUGUUCGUUGUUACUUGACUUGUUAGUUGCUGUUGUUUGGCACGCCGUUUAGGUUUAAGGCCCUUUCUUCUCUCUGUUCAUUACAAAGUCUGGAAUGUUGGGGUUGUGCUGUUUUGCUUCUGGAAGAGAGACUCGUGGUGCUGUUAUCCUAUUUUUUCUUGUGGAUGUUUUGCUGGUCUUGUUAGGGCCUCUUAAUGAUUAAUGAGAUUCUGGAAUGUUUUUUUUGGCUUUUGAGGCUGUGUUGCUUGCUGGUGUUUAUAUGUUUGCAAGGGCUCUUAAUCUUACUAGUCCCUUGGGUCUGUGGGUUUUUUUUUUAAAGGGAUGGUGUUUUGCUUGGUUUGAUUGGAAGGGCUCUGUUGCCUCAUUUUUGUAGGUAGCGAUAGGAAGCAAAGAGCUCCUCUUUUCUUUGCAUUGCUAGGCUCUGGACCUCUGGUAGUUCUCUUAGUUUUUGUUCUGUUUGAUUAUCAGCUUAUUGAUUAUUUACUGGUUUAGAAUUAGAGCAGCACAUUUCAACAAAGGUCCCUCAUGGUGUAAGACAAGGAAUUAAAGCAUGAAUUGAAGUCAGCGAUAUAUGUUGACGACUUUUGAUCUCACGUUCUUUUUAAAUCUCUUCAAGUAUGAGUGGCCUCUUUUUUGGUUUUUAUGACACAGGGUUACUACUUGAAUAACAUUAUGCUUCAACAAGUGACUCUUUUGAUUCAGGAGGUAUGUGAAGGGAAGGGUUGGGUAUUUCUAAGAGAACCUUAAGAAGUAAAGGCUUGGUAAAACAAAUUUUUGUUACCUUGAUGCUCACCAGAAUGUAAAAUGGCUUUUGUGGAAGUCUGAUGGUAUUUUGUUUGGUCAUUUCUAGGAUUUCUGCAAAGGCAGUUGCGUGGAAAUUGGUAAUAUAACUUACAGAAGGAGAACCAUACUUCUUUACAUUUGGAAAAUCAGAGUUUGUAUCUUCAUCUGAUUAGGGGGACUCACUCCUUGGAAAGGCUUAUAUGAGCAAAUUGGCAUGACAGACUGGCUAAUUUUCAGGUUUUUAGUGCUCUUGUCGUUGAAAAGCUUCUUUCUGUUCCUACCAUGCCCAUGUACCGGUGUAUAGAACAUUUGAGCCAAAGUCUAUGAGGUCUCAUCACCAAUUUCUGUAUCUUUUCUUUUGAUUAUAUCGAUGUUGAUUCUCACCUCUUCAUCAUCCUCUCAAGCAUUCAAAAUUAAUUGUUGGAGGCAAAGAUGGCUAGGUGGUGAAGCUUUCAGAAGAAUACAGGCUUUGGGCGCAAAAAAUACUGUUUCAAGUCAAUGACACUCUCUGUGAGUCCAAUUAAAGUCUCCUGUAGAAAUGUCUUUUUACUUUUAUGAACCUUGUGCAUUUCAGUUUUUCUUUUGAUCUACUCCAUGUCAGAAUCAUAUGUAACAAUUACAAGUAGUCUUGUUUACAAUAAAAAUUCAUCUUUGAUUGUUUUACCA